rnacentral:rRNA from 1 species
GACUCUCGGCAACGGAUAUCUAGGCUCUCGCAUCGAUGAAGAACGUAGCAAACUGCGAUACUUGGUGUGAAUUGCAGAAUCCCGUGAACCAUCGAGUCUUUGAACGCAAGUUGCGCCUGAAGCCACUAGGCUGAAGGCACGUCUGCCUGGGUGUCAC